GGGGAAUAUUGGACAAUGGGCGCAAGCCUGAUCCAGCCAUGCCGCGUGGGUGAAGAAGGCCUUCGGGUUGUAAAGCCCUUUUGUUGGGAAAGAAAAGCAGCCGGCCAAUACCCGGUUGUUCUGACGGUACCCAAAGAAUAAGCACCGGCUAACUUCGUGCCAGCAGCCGCGGUAAUACGAAGGGUGCAAGCGUUGUCCGGAUUUACUGGGUGUAAAGGGCGUGUAGGCGGGUUAUCAAGUCAGGUGUGAAAUACCACGGCUCAACCGUGGGGCUGCACCUGAAACUGGUGAUCUUGAGUGCUGGAGAGGAAAGCGGAAUUCCUAGUGUAGCGGUGAAAUGCGUAGAUAUUAGGAGGAACACCAGUGGCGAAGGCGGCUUUCUGGACAGUAACUGACGCUGAGGCGCGAAAGCGUGGGGAGCAAACA
rnacentral:rRNA from 1 species